rnacentral:ncRNA from 1 species
AACGAGCCGAGGGGCAAUGUGGAAACGUCAGGACUGCGCAGUCCGGCAACAUCAGCAGAGAGCCCGCUAUACGUGACGGAUUGGCUGAAGCGUACAGAAAUAUUGAGCCUCCUGCAAGAGGCAGCCAAGCAAUAGCAAA